UGAAUACGAGAUGCUACGGCAUCGAAGCAGUCUAUGUCAUACUUCCAAGAAAAGCUUGCACUGUCAUAAACAAAUAAUGCCUGUACCAUAACCGACACAGGUGGGUAGGUAGAGUAUACUAAGGGGCGCGAGAUAACUCUCUCUAAGGAACUCGGCAAAAUGACUCCGUAACUUCGGGAGAAGGAGUGCCUUAUUUAUAAGGUUGCAAUAACAAGAUCCAAGCAACUGUUUACCAAAAACACAGGUCUCCGCUAAGUCGUAAGACGAUGUAUGGGGGCUGACGCCUGCCCAGUGCCAGAAGGUUAAAGAAGUUGGUUAGCAUUCGCGAAGCUGAUAACUGAAGCCCUGGUGAACGGCGGCCGUAACCAUAACGGUCCUAAGGUAGCGAAAUUCCUUGUCGGGUAAGUUCCGACCCGCACGAAAGGCGUAAUUAUUUGGAUACUGUCUCAGAGAGGGGCUCGGUGAAAUAGACUUGUCUGUGAAGAUGCGGACUACCUGCACCUGGACAGAAAGACCCUAUGAAGCUUUACUGUAACUUGAAAUUGAAACUGGACUUUAUUCGCGCAGCAUAGGUGGGAGGCGUUGAGAAUAUUCUUAUGGGAAUAUUGGAGCCAUCAGUGAGAUACCACUCUUGUAAUGUUAGAUUUCUAACUUUGAAUCAUUAUCUGGUCAAAGAACAGUUUCAGGCGGGCAGUUUGACUGGGGCGGUCGCCUCCUAAAGGGUAACGGAGGCGCACAAAGGUUUCCUCUGAACGGGUAGAAAUCGUAUCUAGAGUGUAAAGGCAUAAGGAAGCUUGACUGUGAGACCUACAAGUCGAGCAGGGACGAAAGUCGGUCUUAGUGAUCUGACGGUGCUGAGUGGAAAGGCCGUCACUCAACGGAUAAAAGUUACUCUAAGGAUAACAGGCUGAUCUCCCCCAAGAGUUCACAUCGACGGGGAGGUUUGGCACCUCGAUGUCGACUCAUCGCAUCCUGGGGCGGUAGUACGUCCCAAGGGUUGGGCUGUUCGCCCAUGAAAGCGGUACGCGAGCUGGGUUCAGAACGUCGUGAGACAGUUCGGUCCAUAUCCGGUGUAGGCGUUAGAAUAUUGAGAGGAGCCUUCUUUAGUACGAGAGGACCGAGAAGGACAUACCUAUGGUGUACCAGUUAUCAUGCCAACGGUAAACGCUGGGUAGCUAUGUAUGGAGUGGAUAACCGCUGAAAGCAUCUAAGUGGGAAGCCCACCUCAAGAUAAGUAUUCUCAGC
rnacentral:rRNA from 1 species